AGUUAAAAGGAGGUUUAUUUUGGGGUAACUUACAGCCAGUAAAGGGGUUGGGAUCCGGGAGAGGUGAGGUACAGUUCAGCGGGGAUCUUUGGAGAACUUUGACUUUGCCUGUCAUCCAGCAUCCAGGAUCACAAGGAGCCAAGAGAACUGGCACAUCUGGAUCUCGGGUCUUAACGGCUCCUGUCCCCACCACAUCCCAGGGGCAGGUCCUAUGCAGGUGUGGCAGUUACCAGCUGCCUCACUGGGACAGUGCUUCAAGGUCAAAGCUGGAACAGCUGCCCACUACAUAUUCCUUUGGAGAAAUGAUGCCUAACCUGCUGUAGAAGGAUCAGGGGAGGUGGUGCUGGAGCAAGAUACAUCCCUUUGAACACAGAGAGACGGUACAAGAUACUUCUCACUACUUGACUUUUCCAAUAGAGAAGGGGAAGAAACUGUGGAAGCAGAUACUUCACCCCAUCUUCUAAUCUUGUGAUCUUCCUGCCCUCACUGGGUAUUCACAGAGCCAGAGUCUGCAAUGGUACAUGAGACUUUCUACACUGUGACUUUACCUGGAUCCUUAAAUCUGUGGCCAAUCAGCAAGACAGAGCUUGACAUUCAUUUCUAGGACAAACAGACUUGUGUUUGGAACAAUUGUGCCCACCAUCAAAGUCUACUUCAUGAAUGGAAAAAUUGCAAUUCAUUAGGCUAAUUAUUUUGAUCCUUUAUUUGAUUUGUAGGAGGAAAGCCAGUUAUAUAUUUCCCCCACCCCAGGGAGGAGAAAAAAGAUGACUGAGACUGGUCUUGCCUCUUUUUGCUUUCAUUCAUUACUCAGAUGAAUCUGAUGCAGUUAGCAUGACAUUAAAGUCUCACGGACUGGGGUUAUCUUUUCAAAGGUGGGAAACAUUUUAAAUAUUCUAGAUGAAUGCCUUCUGGGGUUUAGAAACUCAUUAGCUUGCCUUGGGUUGCUGUAAGAACACAGAGUUCAUUAGAAAGGUUGUCAGGUAUCCCUUGGGAGGAGAAGUUGAGAAGCUGGCUGUGUCAGGAGGAGAAGUUGAGAAGCUGGCUAUGGCAAACAAGGCACACAGAGCAAAGCUGCAUGUGUCUUGUUUUAAGAGAAAAGAGUGUAUCCCCUAAGGCAUCAGGCAAUUAUGGGAAGGAUCCAGGAUCAAGCUAUCUCAUCUCAAAAGAUUGAUCUGUACAGGGAAGAGGUUCCUAUAGGCAAGUUGUCAGGUCUGGAACCACAAGGGCUAGGCCAAAAGAAGCAUUGCUUUAUUUAGAGACUAUCACUGGGGGACCCUUAGAUGGUCUUUAGCACCUAAUAGCUGCUUUCCUUAAUUAAAGUCAGCAUUUGCCUGACUGAGGCAAGAGAAUUCCUCACAUAAGAAUCAUCUAUGUAACAUUUCAUUUUUUUUUCCCUCUCGUUCCUCUUGUAUCUGAGAAACUAGACAGUGUAUUGGGAAUAGUGAAGUGGUUCAGGAAAAAGGUUCCUUCCAAGAGGCAGAUUCCCAAAUCUGAAACUAGACUGGACUAGGUGGAGAAAAAAAAAGUUUUAAUAGGUUGCCUGGUCAUAAGUUUCAAGUUUUGAUUUGGAAAUAGCUGGGACUAUAUUUUUCAUUCCUAAAGACAAAACUGUGUGUGUGUGUGUGUGUGUGUGUGUGUGUGUGUGUGUGUGUGUGUGUGUGUGUGUGUGUGUAUUGGGGGGUGGGGAGUGGGGCAAAAAGGUUUCAAAAGGGAUGGAAUCUCCUGCAGGCAUUGGUGAGUGGAAAGGAAACCACUUCCGGAUCCUAUCCCAUGUGGUUCAACUCUGCACAAACCCGACUGCACUCUGCACCCAAAGCUUAGCAGUGCAGCUUGCAUAUGUCUCAUGCAGGCUUGGUUCUGAGGACCUACCUUACCGUGAUGAUGGUAGCUUCAGACAGAGAAGUAGCUAUUUCCACUCUACCCAAGGGUAGGCAGGAAUGCACUCGAAUGGGACAGAAUGUCUUCCAAGGCAAGAGUAUCACCAAGGAAGACACAUUCUAGAUGAUUUUACCCUCUCCAAAGCCAGGAGAAGACUCUUUGGACUGUGGGGUGAUUCCUUUCCCACAGACGUAUGUAGUAGCCUCUUCUUCACGGGGGAGAAUCAAUCACGUGGGGGCAGAUGAGUUGGGAAAUUGGAAGAAAAUCUCACAGGGGAAGCUUAAAGUUUUCAAAUGCUAGCUUUUCAGAAGUGAUUCUCUCCUCUUUUUUUGGGGGGGGCAGUCGUGUUUGGUUCUAUCCUAGGUCUCCGGGCUAUCCAGCCUCUGGUUCCUGGUCUUCUCGUCAAUGUCAGGCAUGGACUCCCUCUUGUGAUGUGGGUCUCAAGUUGGACCAGUCAUUGGUUGGCCACUCCCACAAGUUCUGCACCCCCUUUACCCCAGCACAUCUUGCAAGCAGGACAGGUUGUAGGUCGAAGGUUUUGUGGCUAGGUUGGUGUCCAAGUCCCUCCAGUGGAAGUUUUGCCUGAUUACAGAAGAUGGCUGGUUCAGGCUCCAUAUCCUCCAUUACUAGGAGUCUUCUCUAGAAUCACCCUUGUAGAUUUCAAGGAGUUUACAUUGUGCUAGGUUUCUAUCUUGCCCCCCCAAAUGUGCCCCCAAUUCCAGUCAUCUUUCCCUGUACUUUCUCCCCCCACCUUCCCACCUGAUCCCUCAUGUAUCCAUCCCUAUAAGCGCUCAGUACACCUGUGAAAUCUAUUCCAUUUCCCUGUCCCAGGGAGAGUCAUGAGUCCCUCUUUUGAGCCCUCCUUGUUACUUAGCCUCACUGGGUCUGUAGAUUGUAGCAUGAUUAUCAUUUACUUUAUAGAUAAUAAUCCACUUAUAAGUGAGUACAUACCAUGUUUGUCCAGAAAUGACUCUUAAGUUGCUUGCCACUACUUAGGUAAAAAUGGGCCAACAGAGAAGCUUGGCGCUUAUGACUGUAGAGUUAAUGAUGAGCCAAUAGCAGGGCUGCUUUCAGCUAGCUCAAAACAAAAAGGUAAACUAACAACAGCAGAUGGAGUUACCUCUUUCCUCUCUCAAACACACAUCUUAGAUGUUGGACCACCCUGAAUAGCUCUCCACCAACUACCAACUUAAACUAAUAGUAAUAGCAUAUGGCUAAUUAUUUCUUUAUUUUGGGGCCCAAAGACAGGAGCCUGGAUUUCAUGGACAAGCCUGGUUUGUAGGCAGAAGCCUGUUUGCCUGUUUCCAGUUUAACCUGCAAUGUAAUCCUCAAUGAGGGAAAACAUGAGGUCUCUGGUAACAAAACCAAUGUUUGCUGAGCUUGCAACAUCAGAAAGACUUUGAAAGGAAGGACGGAGCUGCUGAUGGAAACAUAGUCAUCCAUAAAGAGAUUGUCACUUUGGGAAUAUUCCAGAGAGAGUGUAUCAGUAUCUGUAUUCAUACUAAGAGGGAAAAGCAGUAAGGGGUUUGCUUCAUCUGCUCCAGAAGCAUUUUCUUUUCUAUCAGAGUUCUCAAUAGUGACUUAGUAUCAGACUCAGACAUGUGAGAAACAAGGAUGGCCCACCAGCUUCCUAUGUGAAUGAAAGGCCAGUAGUCAUUUAUGCUUAUGGUUCUGAUUGAGUCUCUUCCUCUCCCACAAAUAGCUUUAAGUGGCCACAUACAAACUUGAAGACCAUUUGCUUUAGUUUUACAAUGGCACCUCUACCUUAAAUGUCACAGGGGAACAUUUCUAAGAAUAGUAAGGCAUUUUUGAUGUCUACAGGGACUAACUGGAGCUCUUUGUUGACAGUCUUUUCAUCUGUAAACAAAACUAUGUGUUGUUUGAAUCAUGCUUCCUCUUGGUAGAGGCAGAGAGGCAGAAUCAGGGGCAGACACAAUCACAGGGCCAGAGGCAGGUACAGGAACAGGUGCAGGGGCAGGGGCAGGGGCAUGGAGGGAAGCAUGAUGUCAGAAAUACAGAAUCCCAGCUUGUCUUUCUGGCUCACCACGAAUGCUAAAUGAGGCCUAAGGCUCAAGUCCAAAUCCAUUGUUGAAUAACUUUUAAAAGCAAAGGGUGCUGCUUUAUAAUACUUUGAGCUCUUCUAGACUCUGUGCUUAUACUGUCUUUUGUUUGGGGAAAAAGCCAACCCUUAAUAUCUAGACUCUAGCCUAUAUCACCUUCCCCCUCAAUUUUAAACACAAGCUCUAAAAUUUGUCUAUUCACUUUUUCUCCUGUUGCUAGUCAGAUUUCUCUUUGCUAGUCAAAUAUUUUAAAUUGCUUUGAGUUUGAGUCAAAUUUUUACACAUUUUUUAUGGUAAGAGGAGAGCAUGGGGACAUGCUCCUGGUUCUCAAAAGUAGAAACUGUAGGAACUAGUACCUAGCAAACACCAGUGGAUGAAAUAGAUUGGUGGAAAUUUCCUGGUUUCACAGAAACUACUGGAUAAAAUUCAUGGAACUCUCUUUAAAUUUAAAAUUUAGAAUUAAAAAUGUUUUGCUUGUUUGGCUUUUUGAAGUACAAGAGUUUGAACUUAGGGCCCCAAGCAUGCUAGACAAGUGCUCUACCACUGUGCUACAUCCUCAACCUCUUAAAAUUAGAAUUUCUUGACUGAAGACUCCUGUCUGUUUUUCUUCAUCUUGCCAAAAAACCAAACAAACAAACAAAAAAACC